rnacentral:piRNA from 1 species
UCCAACUCCAGGCCAGGCAAUCACGUCU